UACGGGGGGGAGCAAGCGUUGUUCGGAUUUACUGGGCGUAAAGGGCGCGUAGGCGGCCACCGCAAGUCGACUGUGAAAUCUCCGGGCUUAACCCGGAAAGGUCAGCCGAUACUGCGGGGCUAGAGUGCAGAAGGGGCAACUGGAAUUCUCGGUGUAGCGGUGAAAUGCGUAGAUAUCGAGAGGAACACCAGUGGCGAAGGCGAGUCUCUGGACAUUUCCUGACGCUGAGGCACGAAAGCCAGGGGAGCAAACGGG
rnacentral:rRNA from 1 species